AGCGAACGCUGGCGGCAGGCCUAACACAUGCAAGUCGAACGAACCUUUCGGGGUUAGUGGCGGACGGGUGUGUAACACGUGGGAACGUGCCUUUAGGUUCGGAAUAACUCAGGGAAACUUGUUCUAAUACCGAAUGUGCCCUUCGGGGGAAAGAUUUAUCGCCUUUAGAGCGGCCCGCGUCUGAUUAGCUAGUUGGUUGAGGUAAUGGCUCACCAAGGCGACGAUCAGUAGCUGGUCUGAGAGGAUGAUCAGCCACAUUGGGACUGAGACACGGCCCAAACUCCUACGGGAGGCAGCAGUGGGGAAUCUUGCGCAAUGGGCGAAAGCCUGACGCAGCCAUGCCGCGUGAAUGAUGAAGGUCUUAGGAUUGUAAAAUUCUUUCAGCGGGGAAGAUAAUGACGGUACCAGGAGAAGAAGCCCCGGCUAACUUCGUG
rnacentral:rRNA from 1 species